GAAUUACCAUAAUUAGUUAUUGAAUAUACAGCAUUGAGCAUAGAGACUGGUAUGCUUUGUUUUAGGGCAGGGAAGGGAUGUAUGUUGGAAGAAUGUAAUAUUCCGCCUCGGAGAGCGUUUUUAGCUUCAAUCAUUUCGCUUAUGAAACACUUUCGGGGGUUGCUGCUGAAUUGUGGAUUUUCACACAUAAACACAAAUAUUUCUACAGUGCUGUCAUAGCGCCUUAUUCCCCCUAAGAGCCCUCCUUUUAAUGUUUGGCAAUGGGUUAGGUGGCCAAAGGCAAGUAAGGCUAAAUGUUGCCUCUCAUUUUUAUGUGCCAAUAAAGGAUUUCCUUAAUGGAUGUCAACUUCACCCCCCAUCUCCUGUUAGAUUUGGACAGCCAUAUCCUCAGAAUAUACAGGUUCUUUUAUUGCAAUUUAACAUCAAGAUAUAAUGUUUCAAAGAUAAAUGCCACUCGUGCCAUUAAUCUCCCCGGCACUAAAUUACACUAAUGAUACCAGAAUAUCACUAAUUAAUACUUUCAUCCAUAAAGACACACUUUCACCAGCCAAAUCUAUAUAGAUUGAGCUGCUGAGCUCUAAUAAAUAAAGUUGCUGAGAAAGAUGAUGGAAAUAUAAAACAAAUUUCAGGGCAAAACCCAUCCGUAGUCUUUUUUUUUUUCUUUCACUGAUGGAGCUCAAGUAAGUUAAAAAUAACACACUGCCAACUAUAAUAGACAUUUUUUAAAAUCUGAUAAGCAAUAUUUUGCUAUUUAUUGACGUGGAUAAACAACUUUUAGCGCACUAAAAUCGCCUUUUGCUCAUCUUUGUCAUCAUAUCAUCACCCCACCGACUCGAUGAGAAGGCUAAAGUCUUGAUCUAUACCACUUUAGAGAGGUAAUCUUGAUCAAGCUGUCAGCCGUUUCUUCUGCUCUUUAACCAGGUCACUCUGCAAUACAUCACGCUGCGGCUUCAUAGAGAGUUUCUGUCAGGAAUAACACAGCUUUAUUUAUGUGGUAUCCCCUGGCAUUUUGCAGGAAAUGUAUUACCUCUCCAACUGGCCCUAUGUCAGCAUUCCAUUAAAGCCUCUUCCCCCCUCGGUCUAAAUCUUAAAAUCCCAAAUAGACACUUUUUAAAUGUAAGUCACUCUUAAUUGAGGUCAGUUUCUGCUAACAUAACUCACGGCAGCACCUGACAAAUUAAGGUUUCCUCCGGCUGGCUUCUGACAUUGUGAGGAAGACACACAAAUGUAUCUAAAGUGGGGAGCUAACAACAAUCAUGACAGGCUCCUCCGGACGUCCAUAUUUCUGGGAUUUGAGGCUUGGAUAUUUUUUACUUAUUUUAGUGAUUUUUCAAUAUUUAAUGUGUAAUAUUACGAGCUGCAGACCAGGGUUAGUGGCAGGCCAGUAAAUAUGGGUCCAGACGGGUCAUUUAUUACAUGCACCAUGCCCACUUCUCUCACAUGUUGCCAGUGUCUGCUCUCUCUUCCUGUUAAUAGCCUUGUUGGAGCUGCAGACAGUGAUGUCAAAGGAGGGCCUGUAUAUCUACGGAGCUGGGUAGACGCAAGUGGCUCCCGGGAGGUCGGGAAAAAGUCAAGUUUUCUGGCCUCAAAAUCGGCACCAUCAGCUGAUAGUGCACUGAUGUUUAAAACAAAUGAAGCUGUUUUGGCUGCAGAGAGGCUUGUCAUCUCUCCCGCAUCGCCGGUACAAACUCAGGGCUCAUGUUCCCUGGCGGUUGGCGGUCCAGGCUGUCAGGUCCAGGGUAGAGCUAUGUGCUGACAUGUCAGUCAAGAUAAAUCAGCCUUAUCAAAGUGACAGGUGUUUGUCCACCUGCUAUAAACAUCUCCCACACUUCACUCCUGCUCCGUCUCUCUUGCAGGAUUAUUUAUAAGGCUGCGGCCUCCGUAAUCUGGCCCUGUUUACUCUCUUGCUGCUGCUGUAAUAUCAGGUCAGUGCUCUGCUGCUGAUUUAUUGUACUAGUUAGCGUGGUGAGUAAUGACCUCGGAUGGUUUGGGAGGAUAGUUUGUAAUCAAGUGAGGUCAGAGAUGCUUUAACUGUAAUUACAGCCCUUUACACCUACACGCACCGCAUGCCAAUCCUGUGCUAAAGUGAUCGCCCCCUUUUUACUCCCCUCCUCUUAUAGUUGUGAUGACCUCACAUAGGUCCCGUCUCAAUAUCAGCUCUUUAUUUAGCAGCGUUGUGUAAGACAGAGGAAGUAAACGUAUGAGGGUUGAGUUGCAGGAGCUUGCUGAGCUAACAGAGUCACUGGAUAGCAGAUUGUUGCCAUCACUCCCACUUAGUGUCAGCUCUGGUAUGCAUCCAAAGCACCGGGCCUGCCAAGCUAACCUGAGCUAAUUUAGAGGCCAGCGUACACAUGGAGCUGCUCAUCAGUGCCGGAUGACGUGGCCUCAGCGUCAGGCAAGAGGUUUCCACUGAGGACACCGAGACAUUGGGAUGAUGGACGGUGUCUGGAGAAGACAAGCUGAGCCGGUCAGUGGAUCUACUGCAGGCCGUGAGCUGCCUGCUGAUUUACACACACUGGCAGUGAAGCUCAGAGGCCCCGAGAGAUGGUGCCCUCUACCCCUCCAUUUCUUUCCCCCCUUGUUUCUCCACCCUCCGUCGUCUUCCGGCUGCCACCGCUGGCAGUCUCCCCGCUCUCCGGACUGGGCCUGGUCAAAGAACUCCCCCUCUACUCGUUCCUCAUCCCUAACAAGACUAUCAUUUCCAGACAGAAGAGUCCUACUAAUCCACCAUAAAUCAAGAUUUAGGAUGGGUAUGAAUAAUCUGGGGAUCAACUGUACGUAAACAUAUACACAGUGGUGCAGGUUUGUUGUCUUAACACAAGGCCUUUCCUUCUCAUCCAUCUGUUUUCUGCACACGCCAGAGGAAGCAUAUCUGAUUUUACACACUGUAUUAUUUCAGGAAAUUAUGAAGCCGUGAUCUCAACUUCCUUCCCCCCUCCUCGGGCCCAUGUGUUCAUGGCAGAGGAGCUAGUUUCACGCUGAUCAGCUCUGAUUCCACGAGAUGGGAAGCUGUUGCUCGCCUUGGUACAGUGAUCACGCCCGUUCCCAGUAAUUGCUACAUCCACACACCAACAGACGACAGCAUGUGGAGGGGAAAUAGCAGGGGGCAAAGGUUUCAAAAUAAAGUCACAAGACUGAGAUGAGCUCCUCCCUGUAACCGUCAAAUCCUGCUGAUGACUCAAAAAGAAGUCUGCUAAGUCUGCAUGUACCAGCAUGACUACACUGAACAACAGAAUCUACAGGAAUUUGGCACAAGAGGAAUAAUCCCGCAUGAUAAUAUCCAAUGUCCUGCCAAAGUAUGUUGUCCGACUUGAAUCCAACAGACCACCUUUGGGGCGUCAGGAAAAGCAACACAACCCAUCCAGCAAAGUAAUGCAAUUACUACUUCACAGAUCCAUGGUCAACAGUUACAGUAGUUCAGUAGCAGGUGAGUUUUAGGAGGUUUAAGGUUCAGCUGAGUGUCCCACAACAGUUAUGGGAGAUAUGUCGAGUCAGGACAGCGCCAUCAGGAAGCAGGUAUCAAGUACAUAGAGCUGUGUAACUACAGCCACAAACAAUGCCCUGCGGAAAUGGACAGUCUUAUAUCUAAAGUGCUACAUUUAACAAUCGUCUGACCUAUUGCAGGUGCACAAAAGUUAGUUUCAACAGGUGUAAAUGGCAACAGAUUCACUCUGGAAAUGAGGCCUUUUCAAAUAACUGACAGGACUUCACUUUGGGUAAAAGCAUCAAGUUAUAAUUUAGUAAAGAGGAAAAGGGAACAUCUGGGAAAUUUCCAGUGGGCCACAUCGUUUUAUAUUUCACCACAAGGGUCAUACAGAGAUAUAGAAAGACACAGUAGAAGCUGUGGCUGUAAAAACCUCACACGAUACAAGUUCAAACAACAGGUCUGUAAUGUUUAGUUCUAUGUGAACUUAGGGUACGGACAAGACAGCAGUUAGUUCACUCUGCCGACACAGUGUGGCUAUACGGGUUAUAAAGCACACGUUAAUCAACCAAGCACCACUUCCGGUGAGAGAUACUUGUGGCUAAACAGGACUAUAAAUUACCAAAUAUAACAAUAUAUUAAAAACAAAACACAUCCACAGUGAUUGAGUCUGCUACAUGACAUGUGAAAUAAAAGCUGCAACGGGUUAGUCUGACCUCAAAUCAGCCGCUCUACACAAAGGUUAGUUUUAGUCUCCAUCGCGGUGUCGAAGGCACAGGGACCUUUACCGAGCACCACGGAGCAGAGAGCACUUUUAAAACCCGUCCCCGCCGAGGAUCCCCCACACCUGCCAGAAAACUCUACCUGCAGCGGGACGUGAUUUCACACGGCGUGCCUCUAAUGUCAGCUGAAGGAGGACACUUGAUGGAGGUUAAACUAAGCUUCAGGUGAGAGCGCAGCUGUUUAUCUGCUGUCCUUGGCGUUCAACCGACACGAGUGUUUUUUUCUUUUUACUGCUCGUCGUCUCCACUGUGCCAGGUCAGCUUCUGCUCGUAGAAGUCGAUGACCACCUGGGGACAUCUGGCGCUCGCUUCGCGGGCCGGCAGCAGGGCCACGUCAUCCGAGUUCUUCCUGCGGGGAAACGAGCAGGAGGAGGGAAACAUUCAGACAAACGCUGAGCCAAAACGCUGGCGUGCAUUCAAGGACGGAGCAAAGAGGAAGCAGCCGAGUUACCAUUUGACGAGGAACAUGAGCUCUCCCUUUCGGUCCGUGGAGCCGAUGAUGCACUCGGGCUCGAGGUAAGUGCUGAGGUUAGUGUGGGCGUCUGACUGCUCUUCAUCCGGCUGGAGGACGAGGCUGCUGUUGCUCUGCACAGCGUGAGGCUCCUGCACACACGACUGCAGAGAGAAUGACAAGAACAGAAGGGCAGCAGUUAGUAAAAACAACCAAGGAAGCACCCACAUUAACAGACACGCUAAACAACUAGAACUUUUAUCAUAAAACACUUUCAAAAACGAGGGUUUACUAAGUUCUUUGAUAAAGCAAAACAACAACCAGCAGCCAGUCAAUAAAGUCAAAUAAAGCAGAGCAAAGUUUAUGAAAAAUGGGAAACAGGAAGACAAAAGGCACAGAAAUACAAAACAUGAGCGAUGAUAGUAAAGUAAUAAAAGCCACAUAAACCUAAAUAAGCAAAUAAAUGGCUAACAAGCCAACAUAAUGGAAAAACAGGUCUAGAGAAAUGAUUUUUCUUCCCAAGAAAAAUCAAUCACUUGUUCCCAUCUGACCCUCUCAGAAUCAGCUGAUUUUCUCUGUACAGUUAGUAUAUUUACUGAAGUCAUGCUAAACGGUACGUUCAUUCUAUGAAUAUUUUCCAAGUAAUAGUGCUGGAAUUAUCAUUGAUUUAAUUCCUGGAGUGUACAGAAUUUCAAAUAUUACAUGGUGAGAUUGUCAAAACAUGCCUGUGGUAGAAAAUUAUUUUCACACAGAAGGAAUCACGACUAGAAGAUGAGCCUGGUAUCAAAAUAUAAACGAGACCUUUCAUUUGCCACUUAUCACACAUGCUGAUAUGAGCAUUGAAAGUUUACCCAAAAAGCACUUGUUUUUAAAGUUCUCUCCAGUGAAAUGUCAGAAAACACAUCCAGAGUCUGUCAUAGAUAUUAAGCUGGUGCAGUUUUGCUGUUGAAAAUAUAGCUAAACCAGCUCAAAGUCGAUUAGAGUAAAAAAAAGUCACACAAAAAAAGAAAUUUUGGCAUUAGAUUGUGACAUGUGGAGUGGAUGUAAAUAUGAUUUGGCUGCAGCUCAAAUGUGUUUUUCAGCCCUAAUAAUUAGAUGUGUCCAUCUCCUGUACUUAUGAGGAUCAAAAAUGCUGGAAAAAAUAACAAAAAUUUAAAAAGUGCAAGCUUUCAUCAGACUCCUCUGCACUUCUAACGGUGUGGCUUCAUUAAAUAUAAGUUACUAGACAUAAAAAUCCAGGUGAUUCUAGGGGGAUCAGGUGGAAACUUUUUUCAGAUUUGGUUGAUUUUUUUUUAAGGAAUGACCCAGAAAUCAGUGAUUCUGCGAGCCUCGUGUCCUCAGGCAAAUUGUUCCAGAAAUUAAUAGAUCCUGCUAGCAAAUGCGCAUUUAAGAUUUAAGCUUUGACUCUGGAACAAUGACAAGAGCUCUAACUGAAGAGGGCCUGGGACCAGAACUAGAUAUACUUAAAAAAAAAAAAUCUGUUAAAUCUUCAAAUCAAUUCUAAAGUGAACAAGGAGCAAGGACUGGACAACAUGUCAGCUAGUAGAAGCAGUAAGAAGCCGGGCUGCUGUCUGGUUGUGGUAUUUCUGUUUAACUGUACAUGCCCAUUGUGAAAUAAAGGAAAUUCAACUGCUUUCACUUUCAGGAUCACUGCAAAACUAACUGCCUUCACACGCCAUUUAGUUUCAGACUGAGUCUUAAACCACCCCAAAAAAAAAAAAAAAAAAAGCAGGAACAAAAUCUACCAUACUGGUCAGAUGAUUUUGCCUGACAGCAGAGCAGCUUCUGCCUGAAAAAAAAAGGUGGAUUCUAAUACGCUUUGUUUCCUCGUUACAGAUUUAGGCGCAGACGUUGUGUGAAUAACGUGGAAAGAACACACUCACAAUUUCCGUCUCCUGCUCGGUCAUUUCUUCCUUGGGGAUGAACACUUCGUCGUCCUCGGGGUUGUAGGUUCUCAGGAACUCCUCGAUGAGUUCAGGGCAGUCCAGGUUGUCUUCGGGCUCCCAGGUGUUUUCUGCACUGUUGGAGGGGAAGCACAGCAAGCAUGUUUACCAUCAGGGACAAACAACACGUGAGACAAUAAAACACAACACUCACUCUGUGAAGCCUUUCCACUUCAGAUAGUACUCCACUCUUCCAUUAAAGACUCUCCGGCGGAUUAUUGUCUCCACCACAAACUCCUGGACAACUGUGGUCUCCUCUGUCUUCCUCUGUUUGGCUGUUUGCUUCUUUCUCAUUCUGAAACAAUAUACAAGAAAAAAACAGAAUGAAAGAAAGUUAAAAAUAUGGAUAACAUUUAGUUUUUUUUGGACAAGACGCCACACUGAGGUCAUAAACAGACACUUUCAUGUCCCUGCUGCUUUUUUUUUUUUUUUUUUGCAGAACAACAUGGCAGUGGUGAGUACUGCGCCCUUCACACAAUGCUCCUUAUUACAGCGCUCCACCUGCUGUUUCUUUCGGGAGCUUCUUCAGUCCAAAACGCAACAUGUUAGUAUGAACCUCAGCGCUGCCCACUUUCACAGUUUUUAGCGAAUUCCGCCUUAAAAACACGAGUGGAAACGCGCCCCGAGUGAUGCCACAACACGCUGGGAAUGAACAAUAUGCACGUACGCUCUCGGUGUUUACUUAAUCUCGGCGGACAGCCCGCUGCUGCAGCUGCUGCUGUUGCUCGGUUCGGCUUGGCUCGGCUCGGCUCUGCGCCCGUCGCUGGAGAACUACACGCACACCGCGCCGUCGACGCGCCUUUGUGCGCAAAAUGUGUUCUUUCGGCGCGUUUAAAUGCGCCCCAAACAACUUUUCAUGAAUGAGUUAAAAUUAAAGAUGGCCGUUGAUGCUCGGAGGAAGUGGUUGCCAAGGGAAAAGGUCAUGCCAGGAAAACCGGGAGGAGACGACGGGGACGCGCACGCCCCGCCGACCAAUCAGAGAGCAGUCCGCUCGUCCGUGCCCGUCCAGCGGUCCGGAACAGCCCUGCCCCCCAUGGGUGUCAGCCGGGUAUGGCAGGAGGGACCCGGGGCUGGCUGGAUCUCACUGGGAACACACUCUGGCUCCAGAUGCCGCAUUUUAUUAUAUGGCUUCAGAUGAAAACGGAUCCGUGUUUGGAAUCUACACACAAAAAUAAAAUAAAUAAAUUUAA